rnacentral:misc_RNA from 1 species
GCAAACUUGGUCAUUUAGAGGAAGUAAAAGUCGUAACAAGGUUUCCGUAGGUGAACCUGCGGAAGGAUCAUUAUUGAAUAAACUUGAUGGGCUGUUGCUGGCUCUUAGGAGCAUGUGCACGCUUGUCAUCUUUAUCCAUCCACCUGUGCACCUUGUGUAGUCUUUGGAAGUUAACGAGCGUCGAAACUGUUCGUGCGAGUUUCUCCAAAGUCUAUGUUUUUCAUAUACCACGUAGAAUGUCUCUGAAUGUAUUUCAUUGGGCCUCAGUGCCUAUAUAACACAAUACAACUUUCAGCAACGGAUCUCUUGGCUCUCGCAUCGAUGAAGAACGCAGC